GAUGAACGCUGGCGGCGUGCCUAAUACAUGCAAGUCGAGCGAACAGACGAGGAGCUUGCUCCUCUGACGUUAGCGGCGGACGGGUGAGUAACACGUGGAUAACCUACCUAUAAGACUGGUAUAACUUCGGGAAACCGGAGUUAAUACCGGAUAAUAUAUUGAACCGCAUGGUUCAAUAGUGAAAGACGGUUUUGCUGUCACUUAUAGAUGGAUCCGCGCCGCAUUAGCUAGUUGGUAAGGUAACGGCUUACCAAGGCAACGAUGCGUAGCCGACCUGAGAGGGUGAUCGGCCUCACUGGAACUGAGACACGGUCCAGACUCCCACGGAAGGCAGCAGUAGGGAAUCUUCCGCAAUGGGCGAAAGCCUGACGGAGCAACGCCGCGUGAGUGAUGAAGGUCUUCGGAUCGUAAAACUCUGUUAUUAGGGAAGAACAAAUGUGUAAGUAACUAUGCACGUCUUGACGGUACCUAAUCAGAAAGCCACGGCUAACUACGUG
rnacentral:rRNA from 1 species